rnacentral:tRNA from 1 species
CGCGGCGUGGUGCAAGUUUGUGGUAACAACGCCCGGCCCCAACUCAACUACGGUAAAAUUGGGCGAAACUUUCGGGGUGCGUGGAGAUGGCAGUUCGAGUCUGCCCGCCGCUU